rnacentral:rRNA from 1 species
UGAGGAAUAUUGGUCAAUGGGCGAUGGCCUGAACCAGCCAAGUAGCGUGAAGGAUGACUGCCCUAUGGGUUGUAAACUUCUUUUAUAAAGGAAUAAAGUCGGGUAUGCAUACCCGUUUGCAUGUACUUUAUGAAUAAGGAUCGGCUAACUCCGUGCCAGCAGCCGCGGUAAUACGGAGGAUCCGAGCGUUAUCCGGAUUUAUUGGGUUUAAAGGGAGCGUAGGCGGACGCUUAAGUCAGUUGUGAAAGUUUGCGGCUCAACCGUAAAAUUGCAGUUGAUACUGGGUGUCUUGAGUACAGUAGAGGCAGGCGGAAUUCGUGGUGUAGCGGUGAAAUGCUUAGAUAUCACGAAGAACUCCGAUUGCGAAGGCAGCUUGCUGGACUGUAACUGACGCUGAUGCUCGAAAGUGUGGGUAUCAAACAGGAUUAGAUACCCUGGUAGUCCACACAGUAAACGAUGAAUACUCGCUGUUUGCGAUAUACAGUAAGCGGCCAAGCGAAAGCGUUAAGUAUUCCACCUGGGGAGUACGCCGGCAACGGUGAAACUCAAAGGAAUUGACGGGGGCCCGCACAAGCGGAGGAACAUGUGGUUUAAUUCGAUGAUACGCGAGGAACCUUACCCGGGCUUGAAUUGCAACUGAAUGAUGUGGAGACAUGUCAGCCGCAAGGCAGUUGUGAAGGUGCUGCAUGGUUGUCGUCAGCUCGUGCCGUGAGGUGUCGGCUUAAGUGCCAUAACGAGCGCAACCCUUAUCGAUAGUUACCAUCAGGUUAUGCUGGGGACUCUGUCGAGACUGCCGUCGUAAGAUGUGAGGAAGGUGGGGAUGACGUCAAAUCAGCACGGCCCUUACGUCCGGGGCUACACACGUGUUACAAUGGGGGGUACAGAAGGCAGCUACACGACGACGUGAUGCUAAUCCCUAAAGCCUCUCUCAGUUCGGAUUGGAGUCUGCAACCCGACUCCAUGAAGCUGGAUUCGCUAGUAAUCGCGCAUCAGCCACGGCGCGGUGAAUACGUUCCC